rnacentral:rRNA from 1 species
GACGAACGCUGGCGGCGUGCUUAACACAUGCAAGUCGAACGGAAAGGCCCUGCUUUUGUGGGGUGCUCGAGUGGCGAACGGGUGAGUAACACGUGAGUAACCUGCCCUUUGCUUUGGGGUAACUUCAGGAAACUGGGGCUAAUACCGGAUAGUAACUCCUGCUGCAUGGUGGGGGUUGGAAAGUUUCGGCGGUUGGGGAUGGACUCGCGGCUUAUCAGCUUGUUGGUGGGGUAGUGGCUUACCAAGGCGUUGACGGGUAUCCGGCCUGAGAGGGUGAACGGCCACAUUGGGACUGAGAUACGGCCCAGAGUCCUACGGGAGGCAGCAGUGGGGAAUAUUGCACAAUGGGCGGAAGCCUGAUGCAGCAACGCCGCGUGCGGGAUGACGGCCUUCGGGUUGUAAACCGCUUUAGCCUGUGACGAAGCGUGAGUGACGGUAAUGGGUAAAGAAGCACCGGCUAACUCCGUG